rnacentral:tRNA from 5 species
GCCCCAGUAGCUCAGUGGAUAGAGCAACAGCCUUCUAAUCUGUCGUGCGCAGGUUCGAGUCCUGCCUGGGGCGCCA